rnacentral:ncRNA from 1 species
GAAAGGUCGUUCUUUCGCCAAAGACGACUGGGUGUUUUACCGAGGCACCCCAAUUAGG